UCCUACGGGAGGCAGCAGUGAGGAAUAUUGGUCAAUGGACGUAAGUCUGAACCAGCCAAGUCGCGUGAGGGAAGACUGCCCUAUGGGUUGUAAACCUCUUUUAUAAGGGAAGAAUAAGUUCUACGUGUAGAAUGAUGCCUGUACCUUAUGAAUAAGCAUCGGCUAACUCCGUGCCAGCAGCCGCGGUAAUACGGAGGAUGCGAGCGUUAUCCGGAUUUAUUGGGUUUAAAGGGUGCGUAGGCGGUUUAUUAAGUUAGUGGUUAAAUAUUUGAGCUAAACUCAAUUGUGCCAUUAAUACUGGUAAACUGGAGUACAGACGAGGUAGGCGGAAUAAGUUAAGUAGCGGUGAAAUGCAUAGAUAUAACUUAGAACUCCGAUAGCGAAGGCAGCUUACCAGACUGUAACUGACGCUGAUGCACGAGAGCGUGGGUAGCGAACAGGAUUAGAUACCCUGGUAGUCCACGCCGUAAACGAUGCUCACUGGUUCUGUGCGAUAUAUUGUACGGGAUUAAGCGAAAGUAUUAAGUGAGCCACCUGGGGAGUACGUCGGCAACGAUGAAACUCAAAGGAAUUGACGGGGGCCCGCACAAGCGGAGGAACAUGUGGUUUAAUUCGAUGAUACGCGAGGAACCUUACCUGGGUUUAAAUGGGAAAUGCCGUAUUUGGAAACAGAUAUUCUCUUCGGAGCGUUUUUCAAGGUGCUGCAUGGUUGUCGUCAGCUCGUGCCGUGAGGUGUCGGGUUAAGUCCCAUAACGAGCGCAACCCUUACCGUUAGUUGCUAGCAUGUAAUGAUGAGCACUCUAACGGGACUGCCACCGUAAGGUGAGAGGAAGGCGGGGAUGACGUCAAAUCAGCACGGCCCUUACACCCAGGGCUACACACGUGUUACAAUGGCCGGUACAGAGGGCCGCUACCAGGUGACUGGAUGCCAAUCUCAAAAGCCGGUCGUAGUUCGGAUUGGAGUCUGUAACCCGA
rnacentral:rRNA from 1 species